rnacentral:lncRNA from 1 species
GUUGUUGCAUUUAUUUAUUGAGUUAUUCUUGGGUUCACCUCCUACCAACCAAUAAGAAGUAGUUAUUAUAUAUUCAUUAUCUUUUAAAAAAGAAAAUAAAAUAUUAUUAAUGUAUAUCAUGAUUUUAAAAUUAAAAACAAGUAAAAAUAAAUAAAAAAUAGUACUAAUCGCAAAAAAAAAAGAAUUUUUAAAAAUAUUUUUAACCCAUCAGUAAAACACUAAACCCUAAA